UACGUAGGGACCAAGCGUUGUUCGGAUUUACUGGGCGUAAAGGGCGCGUAGGCGGCAAUUCAAGUCAUCUGUGAAAUCCCCCGGCUCAACCGGGGAACGGCUGGGUAUACUGGCGAUCUUGAGCCACCUAGGGGCAGUCGGAACAAGUGGUGGAGCGGUGAAAUGCGUAGAUAUCACUUGGAACGCCAAUGGUGAAAACAGACUGCUGGGGGUGUGCUGACGCUGAGACACGAAAGCCAGGGGAGCAAACGGG
rnacentral:rRNA from 1 species